rnacentral:lncRNA from 10 species
GUUAUUGAAGGUGUGAGAUUAGAUUCAGCUCUGGUGGAAGGGGGAUCCCAGAGGGGAUUCCGAGGGAGCGCGCUCUGCCGAGGCGGCCCACAUGGCCGGGCUCCUCCGCAGGGAAGUCUGGCUGGCAUCUCUACAGUCAGCCACCACUGGCGGAUGUUGCUGCAGGCACAUCAGAAUCUCUUAAUGUACUGAGGAAGAAAGGCGCGAGGACAGCAGGGAAGGGAGCCCAGAGGAAAAACGUCUGAAAAAUUCCCCGCAUAAAUUAGCUGGGCCUCUUGCCGUAAAAACUAACAAUUUCAUCUGAUGAUGAAUCCCGGGGCUCCUUCUUCAAGUGCCUGGAGGGAUUGCAUACGUAAUCUACAAGGUAACAGAGAGGCCCAAGAAGAGGGAGAAAGAUGGAGGAGUGGCUGUUUGAUGGAAGAGUCAGAAAACACACAACAUUUGUUGGUUGAGUUUGCCAUCUUAUGUAAGUGUGGUUCAUGGGGCCCCAAAACAAUUGUAAUAGUAAGAUCAAAUAACAGAGUUUACAGAUCACCAUAAGAGACACAAUAAUGGAGAAAAAGUUUUUCUUUUUAUAUUGUUAGAAUUGUUAGAAUAUUGUUAGAAUUACCAAAAUGUGACACAGACACAUAAAUAUGUGCCAAUGCUAUUGGAAAAAUGUUAUCUCUAGACUUGCUAUACCCAGGAUUGCCACAAGUCUUCAAUUUAUAAAAAAUGCAAUAUCUAUGAGUACAAUAAAGUGA